rnacentral:rRNA from 1 species
UAGACCUACGGGGGGCAGCAGUGAGGAAUAUUGGUCAAUGGGCUUACGCCUGAACCAGCCAAGUCGCGUGAGGGAAGACUGCCCUAUGGGUUGUAAACCUCUUUUGUCAGGGAGCAACGCCGGCUACGUGUAGCCGGACUGAGAGUACCUGAAGAAAAAGCAUCGGCUAACUCCGUGCCAGCAGCCGCGGUAAUACGGAGGGGGCAAGCGUUAUCCGGAUUCAUUGGGCGUAAAGCGCGCGCAGGCGGGCC